ACGUAGGGACCGAGCGUUGUUCGGAUUUACUGGGCGUAAAGGGCGCGUAGGCGGCAAUUCAAGUCAGCUGUGAAAUCUCCGGGCUUAACUCGGAACGGUCAGCUGAUACUGCUUUGCUAGAGUGCAGAAGGGGCAAUCGGAAUUCUCGGCGUAGCGGUGAAAUGCGCAGAUAUCAGGAGGAACACCGGUGGCGAAGGCGGAUCUCUGGGCCUUACCUGACGCUCAGGUGCGAAAGCUAGGGGAGCGAACAGGA
rnacentral:rRNA from 1 species